CCCCUCCUCCUCCUCUCACGAGUCACGCCCGACCCCCUCCUCCUCCUCUCCUCCUCCUCCCGUCCUUCCUCAAAACCCUAGCCGCCGCCCCCCUCCUCCUCCCACCUCAGUCGCCGCCGCCUCCUCCUCCUCCUCCUCCUCCCACCUCAGUCGCCUCCUAGGAGAGCUCGACACGAUGGGGUGGCCGUGGAGCACGCCCCGUCCGGAGAGACAAGGCGGCUCCCGAGCAGGGCAUCCGACAGCGCUGGCUUCUCCUCCCCUACGCCGCCGCUGCCCACCCCUCCUCAUCUCGUGCGGGCACGGAGGUGAGCUUCUCCGAUGGCGGCAGCGACCUGCAGUCAAAGGGCGACGGCGACGGCGCUCGAUUUGAUCUACAGGAGAGAGGGAAGAUGAGACGGAGAGAGAGAAGGAAGGAGAGGAGGUAGAAAUAGAGAGGAAAGAGGAGAGGGAUGUGCGCCAGCCAGCGGGAGAGGGUCACCGGAAGGAACAACUGGUCAUUGUUCACACCGCGCUAGGCCAGAGAUGGCUCUGUACUGCCCACACGUAUGCAGAGUACACAAGUGGUUGCCCUUGAAGUCUCCUCCUUGCCCCGCUUAUUCAUUAAGAUCAACAGGGGGGAGGUCCAGGGUGAGACCUUCAAGAGGGAUUUGAUGUUGCUAUUAUUUCAGUUUGUAGAUAGAGGAUGUGAUUCCAGCAAGACAGUGACGAUGGCGAUCACAAGUGAGAUUUAUGUUAAGGAGUAUUAGCAUAUGCUCAUAGGAUCACUAGAAGCAUAUAAAGGUAUCCACAAUGAUGGUUGCUUUCUUAUCGACAAAGAAUUGAAUUAUAAUUAUAGACGGUAAGAGUAGUACCUUUAUAAUCAUAGCUGUAUGCAAUGAUCCAUCAUGUAUUUCUGUUUAAAACCGCAACCCGUAAUUGUUUGAUGUCGUGAAAUGUCUAUAUAUAUAUAUAUAUAUAUAUAUAUAUAUAUAUAUAUAUAUUGUUUACAUUCUUAAGUUAGCCUCCAGACUAUCUACAUUGUCAUGGUAACCUUGGUAGGUUAUAAUAUGCAGAUCGAUAAUCCCGAUUCAGUUUGAGCUUUCCAUGUGUCUUUUUAGCUGAAUAUUAGGAUCACAACUUAACUUAAAUUAGCAGUAUAGUGUCAAUGGGCGUCAUCUGAAGCUAAUAAGAUGUUGUUACUGAAGAACAGCCCCUUGCUACUUACUUGCACAGUACGUGAAAAACACCCUAAAUAGAUUAAAGAAAUCAUACUUGACUGUGAUUGCAUUUGGUUGACGCUUACGUUUAUUUCUCAUCGGUAGAUCAAGGGGGUAAUCUUCUACGUUUCAGGUCCAAGCUUUCAAUGCAUUUUUCUAUCUUUUUUUCAUAUCCCAAUCAUCAUUUGCAAGGCCGAAGCAUGCAUGUCUAUAUGGUUUUGUGGCACUGAUUUCGUUCCAUGCCAGUUUAUUUCCAGCAGUUGGUCUGCUUCUUCAUAGAGAUUUUAUCAGUAUACUAAAUUAAAUAAGAAACUGAAUGUGUAUUGCUUUCACCUUCAGUUUGAACAUGAUUGUCCUAUUUGUGACAUAGGUGAAAAUUAGCAAGCAAGCUACAGUCGGUGCAUGGAUGACCAAGUUUACUUGUUACUUUAUGAAGAUGAUGAUUCCUAAAUAGAAUUACGAGCUAUGUCCUGCAUGUUGACCGUGCUUCAAGGGUAGAAGAGAAUGGGAGGAGGGGACGCGUGCUCCAUAUUUUGUUAUGCACACCUUCCUAAACUAUACUUUUCUUCUUAACAUAUGUUCAUUGUCUAGCAGAAGCUGUAGAUUUCAGCGUACAAUAAUUUCCAAAAUGGUAGAAGGCAUUCAAGACCUGGCAGGGCUGGGUCAACCGGCCCUUCGUGUUCAAGACCCGGCUCUGAUGAGCCUUGACAGUCGUGCUACCGGCUGGGCAUCGUCAUCCUGAGCCAUGUCCGGAACCAGACCAGUAGGGGCACCCUAAGCGAGCACUCGAGGCAUGCUGUCAAGUUGGACGAGUGCAACCAAGCCAGCUGUUGUGUGUGUCCAUGGUUACAUUGUUGUAUUGUUGGUUAAAGACAAUGUUUUUCUUCUUGAAUUAUGAAACCUCGAACAACAGUAGGAUAUAAUCAUUUUGUUCGUUUUGCAAUCAAAGCUUCCAUCGAAUAAUAUUUUAGAAUUGUGCUCCGUCUUAUUCAUAAACUGUGGCUAUUUUGUAGAUUCAUACAAGAUACGGCUUUGUGUGCAUUGAAAUAGCAACAAGUUGGCCUCUCGGUCUCAUUUCUGUAUACAUUUGACUCAUACACGCAGCCAGCAUGUCCAUGUGAUCUGGAUGAAUUUCUCUAUCCUGUUUUAUGUUGUGAUGUCUUUGAUUUUUGUCUCUUCCAGAUUUACAUAUAGAUGCCUCGGUGAAUACUCAAGAAUUUUUGUUCAUUUCUAUUGACGGCCUUUAGGUAUUUUAUAUUUAUUUUUAUAAUGAUUCUGAAACGAGGUCACUCCCUACUAAUCUUGCUCUCCAGGCCUGGUGGCGGGAUGCUUGGUCAAGAAUGCAGGGUGAGUAAAACAAAAUGCUUUUAUCUCUCUGGUCAUCUAGAGCAUAUGGAGGGAGCAAGAUAGCGGGCUUUGACAGUGUCUUCACACCGCCCCAGAGGGGGUGCCACUGAGGGCUUUCUCAUGGAACACGGUGCAAUGUGGUUUUAUGCACGCCUAUGAGCAGGCUACCCUGCACGCUGGUCUUCUACUACUUUCCCAGGCAUAUUACUUCCCUGUGAGAUGCUUCCAAGAGCUCUAUUCAGCUCCAUUGUAUUUUUCUUCUUUUUUUGAUUGCUUUUCCUUCUCUGUUUCUUUUUUAUAUGCAAGGCCAUACAUUUUUACCAUGCAUCCUUGCUCACACAGAAAAUUACUUCAAAAUACACAUGCUUCUAAAAAUGCACAUCCUUUUCAAAACUAUGUAUAUCUUAUUAUCAAAGAUUAUAAGGCAGAAUGUGUUUGCCCACGACUAAAACAAGUAAUACAUUGUACUUUUUUCAAAGCACACGUGGAAUUAGCGGGCUCCUUCAGGUAUUUCAAGGGAAAAACAGAAUCUGUUUAACUAAUUUUCUAUAUUGCUUAUUUAUGCAUUUGUGACCAUAGCUUUCCACUUUAGCUCAUAAACUGGAUGGCAAAAUAGAGUUUGCCCAUUUCAUAUCUAUGUUGUCUUAUUAGGAAAAAAGAUUUUGUUUAAUAGCUGAUGCUUAAUAUGUUUUAUCGACUGUUGAAUGCUCAACUUUAGCUCAUAAACUGGAUGGCAAAUGCUAAUUCUGAUGGGGCUUUUCACACUUAUUGUUUUAUUGUUGUCUAGACAGCUGAUGGCAUGCUUCUUUUUUGCUAAUUGUCAAUUCUUUUGUACAGGGUCCUUCAGCUACUUAUGCUUUGGUAGACAAUGAGAGUAUGUAGAUAGCAUGUAUGGUUUUUACAUUGUUUUGCGCAGGUUGAGAUGCAUCACAUGAUGUUUUCCUUUUACGUUUAUGAGUAUUACAUAGUCCUUUCUUUUUCCACAAGGGGCAGUAGUUGUGCCAUUUUAUUCGAAGGACAAAGAGUUGAUCACAAAGGCAUAGCAUUCAGGAUAUAUACACAAAAGAGUAUAGAACCAAAUUAUAUGAUGUAAUUGACCACUUCCUAUUAACUUCUCUUGUAUACAAUGUUCACGAGUUCAUGUAUUAAGUACA